AUACGAAAGGUGCAAGCGUUGUUCGGAUUUACUGUGCGUAAAGAGAGUGUAGGUUGUUUAUUAAGUCGGAUGUGAAAUCCCGGGGCUCAACCUCGGAACUGCAUUCGAUACUGGUAGACUAGAGUUCGGGAGGGGUAAGCGGAAUUCCGUGUGUAGCAGUGAAAUGCGUAGAUAUACGGAGGAACACCUGAGGCGAAGGCGGCUUACUGGACCGAUACUGACACUGAGACUCGAAAGCGUGGGUAGCAAACAGGAUUAGAAACCCUAGUAGUCC
rnacentral:rRNA from 1 species